UAAGGUGUUCCUAAGGGUUCCCUGGGCAACCUGGGCAACCCUGGCACAGGUUGCCCGGGGAGGUUGUGGAUGCCCCAGCCCUGGAAGUGUUCAAAGACAGGUUGGGUAAGGCCUUGAGCAGCCUGAUCAAGUGAGAGGUGCCCCAGCCCAUGGCAGAGAGGGUUGGGGCUAGAUGAUUUUUAGGGUCCCUUCCAACUCAUGAUUCUGUGUUUGCAUUUUUUAAAAGAGAGGGAAAUGCUCAAUGAAGUCACAUCCUGGUGUUGCCCAGGUUGGUUACUGGAGGAUUUCAGACCCGCUGCUGGUCUUGUCUGUCCCAGUCAUUGUGUGCACGGGCAUGGAAAGAGGGGGGAAAUGGCAGUUUUGCUGUAGAUCUUUCAGGAAUGUUGAGAGUUGGGGCACAUUUGUCAGGACAGGCUAUUGGAAGACACUGGGAAUUUUGGGGUCCUUUGCUCUGAGGUCUCCCUGCUGUCCUUCCUGUGUGAUGGAAGGCAAACUCAAAACCUGAGCCAAGUCUCUGGUCAAAAGUCAUGAGACAAGUGAAGUCUUCAUCUUUAAAAAUAGCAUCUUGAAAUAAUACAUUGUAGGUUACUUGAUUUAGAGCCUGUAAUUUUUAUCUUUGGUAUGCUCAAGCUUUUCUCCAAAACCCAAAGGGAAAUAACAACACUUUUUUUUCUCAAUGAAAGCUGAGAUUAACAUCUAAUCAUCUUCCCCUUUAGAAGCUGAGGUUUUAGGAGCACCAACUUAGGUUAAACUAGAAAGUUUGGACAAUAGCUCUUUCUUUCGAGUGGAAAUUUGGAGAGCUCUAACUGAGGGAGACCACAGGCCCAAGACCAGUGGAGAAGUCUGUGAAGGGACAAAAUCCAUGAAAGAAUUGAAACCAGAGGAGAAGAUGAGACCACGUGGAGGCCUGGCCAGUUGAAGUAGAUACCUUGGCCCUGUUUAGAGGCCUUAGAAGCACUCCUGAGUUCUUCAUUGGUCCUCCCAGAUGUCAUCACUGAAUCUGUAAUUCAAAAGUUUGGAUAAAGAUGACAGGAACACUACAGAGAGCAGCACAGACCCUGUGAAGGCACCCGAAAGUGAACUCUAAAGAUCAAGACUAGGUUUCAGGAAGAGGAGGAUGGGUCAGAAAGUCCAGAUUCUGAAUAAUAAGAAGGAACUCUCAUUAAGGGCUUGGGUUAUUUGAUAAUAACCACGUGAGGUUGCUUCAGCAGAGCUUAAAUAUUACAAAAUAUUAGAGAAACUCCUGGAGAGAUGGUUUAGCAGUCAAAGCUGCAUGAUGAAGGGGGAAUUAUAGGGAAGACGGCACAAGGCUUCUCUCUGAGAUGAGCACCAACAGGACGACAGACAAAAGCGAGAAGUUGCACCCAGAGAUAUUUCAGUUGUGUAUAAGAAAACAAAAGUUCGAAGUGAGAGUGGUCAAGUAGUGGAACACUUUCCCAGAAUGGCUGUGGACUUUCCAUCCAUGAAGAUAAAACCAGGCUGGAUAAGCAACCUAGUUUAGCUUUGAAGAUAGCCCUGUUUGGAGCAGAAGGUAAAAGAACAUCUAGAUAUGUACUAGAUUAAAUGUGUUCCAAUACUUGAAUCACAGGAAAAAGAGUAUGCUGAGAGAAGAAAGAAGUCUGACUUGUAUGUUGGUAUUCACCUUAGUUUAUGUGUUGGGAAGAGCAUACUUGAAAGACAAAGCCUUUCCAGAAGUGUCAGUGACUCAUAGAUUCAAUGUCAGUCCUAAAAGCCUUCCAGCAUGAGGAGAAUAUGAAAUGAUGAAGCAUCCUCUGCGACACAUCUGCUUGAAGUACAGCACAGCGCUCUUUUAGCACCCAUGGUUUCAGGAAUACAGGCACUGAACACCCAUUUUCACAGCAAGACAGGAUUGUCUCUUCUCUGUGGAAUUUUUUGUUUGGUUUUUUUUCGUCUUCAAGCACAGAUAGCCAAGGAAGGAAGUAAUUGACUGAUUGGUUACUUGUGACUACUGAACAAAGGGCCCUUUAAAGAAAUGUCUUUGAGUGUAAGGAAAGUUAUCAGUUGUUAACCUACUGUUGAUUUGCAUUAGAAGAUCACUUAGACAUUCUUCCUCCAAAAGUCCUGUCUGCUGCUUUGCAGAGGCUCAGAUGGGGCAGUGUAGCUUUGCUUCAUCGUCACUUACAUUGUGUAGUAUUCUGGGAGGAGUACAAGGAAGGGAUGAGAGACCAACAGAGAAAUGAAAAUAAAUUAGGGAUGUAAUAUAUCAGCCAUUGAUUAUAGCAGAAUUUCAACCCAGCUGUGCUAGAAAUGUGCUCUGUUAGUUUGGACAAGCCAUUGCACCAACUGACACCUCACACCCUUAUUUGAUUUAGGACAGAAGUUUCAUGAUUAGCUUAAGCCAAUCUGAGACUGUACUGCUGCCAAAGGGACAUUCCUCCUCCUUCUUACAUCAGACCAGGCACCCACAUGACCAUACAAUAAACUGAUCCAACUGAAAACCAGCCCAGGGAAAAAGAAAAAAAAAAGAAGCAGACAUUAGUUUUUAAUUGAGUCUGCAAGAUAAGCAAGCUCACUGUUCCACCUGAAGGUUGCUGGGGCUAACGAAGUGGAUGGACUGGGAACAAACAGCUAGAGGGACAGAGAGGUUAGAGAGGGGCAGAGAGGUUAGAGAAUCGCCCUCAGUGGCAGUGAGAUUCAGCUGCCAAGGACCAGUAAGAUGAAAAAAUGUAUUCAAACCUUGCUGAGAUGAUCACCACAUAAUUUUUUCCUGCCCUGCAUGCCUGAUCUUGGAUUUCUAUUCUUCUAAAUUUAAAAUCCUUCUUUGAAAAAUCAGACCACAGAGAGAGACAAUGAAGCAGAAUAGAUAGUCAUGCAACUAAGAAGACAACCUGGGUCUGAGACAUGACUGCUCAUUCUGUGGCUUUUGGUUACAGGUGUGUGCCAUGGAGUAAGAACAGCAGUCCCUUCUGGAAAUGGCUUGGGAAUACCUCCUUGUAUGGAGGAAGCAGGAGCAUUUGUGAGAUUUUGAAGACAGAAGAGUGAAAGAUGAGGUGCUAAACUGAGACCAUGGCUGUUAAAAUGAGCUGCUGAACACCAGAGAGCAAGGAUUACUGGAUUGCCUAACAGACUGCUGCAGAACCUCUGAGCUUUUUAUUUCCAGUAAUAAAAAAAGAAAUCCAUGUGCGUCUCAACA